AGCGAACGCUGGCGGCAGGCCUAACACAUGCAAGUCGAACGAACCUUUCGGGGUUAGUGGCGGACGGGUGAGUAACACGUGGGAACGUGCCUUUAGGUUCGGAAUAACUCAGGGAAACUUGUGCUAAUACCGAAUGUGCCCUUCGGGGGAAAGAUUUAUCGCCUUUAGAGCGGCCCGCGUCUGAUUAGCUAGUUGGUUGAGGUAAUGGCUCACCAAGGCGACGAUCAGUAGCUGGUCUGAGAGGAUGAUCAGCCACAUUGGGACUGAGACACGGCCCAAACUCCGACGGGAGGCAGCAGUGGGGAAUCUUGCGCAAUGGACGAAAGCCUGACGCAGCCAUGCCGCGUGAAUGAUGAAGGUCUUAGGAUUGUAAAAUUCUUUCACCGGGGACGAUAAUGACGGUACCCGGAGAAGAAGCCCCGGCUAACUUCGUG
rnacentral:rRNA from 1 species